GACGAACGCUGGCGGCGUGCUUAACACAUGCAAGUCGAACGGAAAGGCCCUGCUUUUGUGGGGUGCUCGAGUGGCGAACGGGUGAGUAACACGUGAGUAACCUGCCCUUGACUUUGGGAUAACUUCAGGAAACUGGGGCUAAUACCGGAUAGGAGCUCCUGCUGCAGGGUGGGGGUUGGAAAGUUUCGGCGGUUGGGGAUGGACUCGCGGCUUAUCAGCUUGUUGGUGGGGUAGUGGCUUACCAAGGCUUUGACGGGUAGCCGGCCUGAGAGGGUGACCGGCCACAUUGGGCCUGGGAUACGGCCCCGACUCCUACGGGAGGCAGCAGUGGGGACUAUUGCACAAUGGGCGGACGCCUGAUGCAGCAACGCCGCGUGCGGGAUGACGGCCUUCGGGUUGUAAACCGCUUUCGCCUGUGACGAAGCGUGAGUGACGGUCAUGGGUAAAGAAGCACCGGCUAACUACGUG
rnacentral:rRNA from 1 species